AUUGAACGCUGGCGGCAGGCCUAACACUUGCAAGUCGAGCGGGGUUUUCGGACCUAGCGGCGGGCGGGUGAGUAAUGCGUAGGAAGCUGCCCGAUAGAGGGGGAUACCAGUUGGAAACGACUGUUAAUACCGCAUAAUGUCUACGGACCAAAGUGUGGGACCUUCGGGUCACAUGACAGCGGCCGCGCCUCCGUGGGUCUAGCUAGUUGGUGAGGUAAUGGCUCACCAAGGCGACGAUCUCUAGCUGGUUUGAGAGGAUGAUCAGCCACACUGGAACUGAGACACGGUCCAGACUCCUACGGGAGGCAGCAGUGGGGAAUAUUGGACAAUGGGCGCAAGCCUGAUUCAGCCAUGCCGCGUGUGUGAAGAAGGCCUUCGGGUUGUAAAGCACUUUCAGCGAGGAGGAAGGGGUGUGUGUUAAUAGUACACACCUUUGACGUUACUCGCAGAAGAAGCACCGGCUAACUCUGUGCCAGCCGCCGCAGUAUAC
rnacentral:rRNA from 1 species